GACUCUCGGCAACGGAUAUCUCGGCUCUCGCAUCGAUGAAGAACGUAGCGAAGUGCGAUACUUGGUGUGAAUUGCAGAAUCCCGCGAACCAUUGAGUCUUUGAACGCAAGUUGCGCCCGAGGCGUAUCCGGCCGAGGGCACGCCUGCCUGGGCGUCGCGCAUCGCGUCGCCGC
rnacentral:rRNA from 1 species